GUGGGGAAUCUUGCGCAAUGGGCGAAAGCCUGACGCAGCCAUGCCGCGUGAAUGAUGAAGGUCUUAGGAUUGUAAAAUUCUUUCACCGGGGACGAUAAUGACGGUACCCGGAGAAGAAGCUCCGGCUAACUUCGUGCCAGCAGCCGCGGUAAUACGAAGGGGGCUAGCGUUGCUCGGAAUUACUGGGCGUAAAGGACGCGUAGGCGGACAGCUUAGUCAGAGGUGAAAGCCCAGGGCUCAACCUUGGAAUUGCCUUUGAUACUGGCUGUCUUGAGUUUGGGAGAGGUGAGUGGAACUCCGAGUGUAGAGGUGAAAUUCGUAGAUAUUCGGAAGAACACCAGUGGCGAAGGCGACUCACUGGCCCAAUACUGACGCUGAGGCGCGAAAGCGUGGGGAGCAAACAGGAUUAGAAACCCGGGUAGUCC
rnacentral:rRNA from 1 species